rnacentral:lncRNA from 1 species
UUGCAAACUUGUGGCUCUGUCUGGCUCUGUAAAAUAGAGCUUAGACCUGUUACAAGUGACUCUAUCUUUUCCUGGAACUUAAUUUGGGGCAGCUUCAGAACUGGGAUUUAAAAAGAGUGUUUGUGAAAGGCAAGAGUCAAACAACAACCCCUUCUCUCUCUCUCUCUCUCUUUUUUUUUUUUUUUGGCUUUUGUUGAGUGUGUUUUUGAGAACUGAAAAAACGAAAGCUUUCAGUUUGAGGUUUUGUUCAGUUCAAGCCCCUUGAAUGAGACAGGGCUGGGAGCCAGGGUAAGUGCUUCUGGAAUCGAGGUGAAGAGCGAAGGUUGAUUCAUUUUUUGAUUUCCCCCUCCGGAGCCCCGGUGGCCCAUCCCAUUGUCUGUCACUCUAAAUAUCUGCUGAAAUUAGGGAACUAGAUCAAACACU